rnacentral:rRNA from 1 species
UUGAACGCUGGCGGCAUGCCUUACACAUGCAAGUCGAACGGUAACGCGGGGCAACCUGGCGACGAGUGGCGAACGGGUGAGUAAUAUAUCGGAACAUACCCUAGAGUGGGGGAUAACGUAGCGAAAGUUACGCUAAUACCGCAUACGCACUAAGGUGGAAAGUGGGGGAUCGCAAGACCUCAUGCUCAUGGAGUGGCCGAUAUCUGAUUAGCUAGUUGGUGAGGUAAAGGCUCACCAAGGCGACGAUCAGUAGCUGGUUUGAGAGAACGACCAGCCACACUGGAACUGAGACACGGUCCAGACUCCUACGGGAGGCAGCAGUGGGGAAUUUUGGACAAUGGGCGCAAGCCUGAUCCAGCAAUGCCGCGUGCAGGAUGAAGGCCUUCGGGUUGUAAACUGCUUUUGUACGGAACGAAACGGUUCUCUUUAAUAAAGAGGGCUAAUGACGGUACCGUAAGAAUAAGCACCGGCUAACUACGU